GAUGAACGCUGGCGGCGUGCUUAACACAUGCAAGUCGAACGGAAAGGCCGAAGCUUGCUUCGGUACUCGAGUGGCGAACGGGUGAGUAACACGUGGGUGAUCUGCGCUGUACUUCGGGAUAAGCUUGGGAAACUGGGUCUAAUACCGGAUAUGACGAUCUCUUGGAUGGGGUUGUGGAAAGCUUUUGCGGUAUGGGAUGAGCUCGCGGCCUAUCAGCUUGUUGGUGGGGUAAUGGCCUACCAAGGCGUCGACGGGUAGCCGGCCUGAGAGGGUGUACGGCCACAUUGGGACUGAGAUACGGCCCAGACUCCUACGGGAGGCAGCAGUGGGGAAUAUUGCACAAUGGGCGCAAGCCUGAUGCAGCGACGCCGCGUGGGGGAUGACGGCCUUCGGGUUGUAAACUCCUUUCGCAAUCGACGAAGCCUUUUGGUGACGGUAGGUUGAGAAGAAGCACCGGCUAACUACGUG
rnacentral:rRNA from 1 species